rnacentral:rRNA from 1 species
AACUCUGAUGCAGCGAUGCCGCGUGAGUGAAGAAGGCCUUUGGGUUGUAAAGCUCUUUCGUCGGGGAAGAAAAUGACUGUACCCGAAUAAGAAGGUCCGGCUAACUUCGUGCCAGCAGCCGCGGUAAUACGAAGGGACCUAGCGUAGUUCGGAAUUACUGGGCUUAAAGAGUUCGUAGGUGGUUGAAAAAGUUGGUGGUGAAGUCCCAGAGCUUAACUCUGGAACUGCCAUCAAAACUUUUCAGCUAGAGUAUGAUAGAGGAAAGCAGAAUUUCUAGUGUAGAGGUGAAAUUCGUAGAUAUUAGAAAGAAUACCAAUUGCGAAGGCAGCUUUCUGGAUCAUUACUGACACUGAGGAACGAAAGCAUGGGUAGCGAAGAGGAUUAGAUACCCUCGUAGUCCAUGCCGUAAACGAUGUGUGUUAGACGUUGGAAAUUUAUUUUCAGUGUCGCAGCGAAAGCGAUAAACACACCGCCUGGGGAGUACGACCGCUAGGUUAAAACUCAAAUGAAUUGACGGGGACCCGCACAAGUAGUGGAGCAUGUGGUUUAAUUCGAAGAUACGCGCAGAACCUUACCAACACUUGACAUGUUCGUCGCGACUUUAAGAGAUUAAAGUUUUCGGUUCGGCCGGACGAAACACAGGUGCUGCAUGGCUGUCGUCAGCUCGUGUCGUGAGAUGUUGGGUUAAGUCCCGCAACGAGCGCAACCCUCACUUUUAGUUGCCA